CAUAAAUAUAAGCUUUGAGUCAAUAUAAUAUUAUAUAUGUACGGUUUUGGGGUAUAUCUUUGGGUGUUCAAAAUGAAAUACAUGUUCUUCCUUUUGUAGGAAAUAACUACUGCUUUUACCCUUCCUUGAGUACUUGAAAUAUUCUAUAGGGUUUAAAGUACCCUAAGAUUUUUGGGUCUACUUUUGUAUCCUAAUAUUGGCUCUGUCUCCAUCAGCUGCUGGCUCAGCCUCUUGGAGGACAACCAUGCUUGUCUCCGAUCAGUAAGCAUAGUUAUAGUGUAAGGGCUUGGACCCUUCCCUUGAGAUGGAUCCCAAGUUAGGCCAGUCACUGGGUCUUCUUUUCUUUGGUCUCUUAUCCAUGUUUGUCUCUGUAGUACAUUUAGACAGGAAUAAUUAUGGGUCAAAGUUUUUGACUGUGAAAUGGAAACCCCACCCAUACACUUGAUGCUCUGUCUUUCUACUGUAGGUAGAUUUUCUACAAAUUCCCUCUCCCCAUUGUUGGGCAUUUCAUCUAAUGUCCCGCUCUUUGAUUCCUGAGAGCCUCUCAUCUCCCCAAUCUCUGGUACACUCUAGAAAUUCCACCACCUCCUAAAUCCUGAGGUUACCUGUCCCCAUUAUUUAUGCUGGUCUUCAGUGCUUCUCACCUGACCCCUGCCAUUACCUGGUCAUGUUCUCCUUUUACCCUGUUCCUCUCCUCUCCUUCCCAGGUCCUUCCUUCCCUCAGCACCCCAUGAUUGCUUACUUCUCCCUCAAAAAUGGGAUUGAAGCAUUCUUACUUGGGCCCUUCAGCUUGUUAACCUUUGUGAGUUCUGUGGAUUUUGUCCUGGGUAUUCUGUUUAUUUUUAGGUACUCUCCAUAUAUUAGUGAGUACAUACCAUGCAUCUUUUUUUUGAGUGUGAGUUGCCUUACUACGAAUGAUAAUUUCUAGUCCCAUCCCUUUGCCUGCAAAACUAAUGAUGUCCUUGUUCUUAAUAACUGAAUAGUAUUCCAUUGUUUAAAUGAACCACAUUUUCUAUAGGAUAUUUAUGACUUUUUAUCUUCUACAGUUAAAGCCCUCCUGUUUUACCAUUGUCCACAUCUUAUCAUUUGUAACUCCUGUGUUCUGUCCACUCUGAUAACAAUUUAACCAGCUAAGUUAAUCUUCACUUCCAUAACUAUUUAUUAUGAUCUACAAGAAGAAAAUAAAGGCAAAUAGAAGGCUACACAGCUAAAUAAGGCAAAUAAUACCUGACUUCUGAAGAUGUCACUAAAAUAGUUUGCAAGGAGAAAAUACUAGUUUUGAGGCUGGCAUCAAAAAUCUAAUAAUAAGGGGAACACAAGGAUACACAGGGCCCCAAAAUAAUCUCUGAAUUUCAGUCUUCGCAUGAGCAUAUGUUCAAGUUUUGUUCAUAGCAGGGAAUAAACUCAGUGAUCCUGUAGGUAAGCAUAUCUAGUAAAAGAGGUCAUAGUAUGUGCUUUUCAUAUCAGAUAAAAGUGAAGAAUCUUUAACAUGUUGAGAAUUUCAACUCGAAUCAUACAUAUAUACAAAAUACCUUGUAUACAUGGGAAAACACACAUACACACACACGCACAGAGCGAUAGAGGCAAUAGAGUCACACAUUCAAACACGUGUAGUAAGGUAUCAGAGCUUUAAUUGACUUUUAAAAAGAAUUAUUCUACAAGUAAUAUUUUAAUCUAGACUGAGUUGUAGACUCUUUGUACCAUAUUAUAAAUCCUUUGCUAUAUUUUUCGAGAUUAAUCUUGUGUGAAAAAUAUAUUGCAUUGAUGAAAAGCUAGAUGAUUUUCCUGAAAAAAUAAUACUUAGUAACUUAACAUGUAAUCACGCUCAUAUCAUAUAUCAGUAACAAUAUGGUGUAUGAACAUUUAGAUACCAUGGAUUUAAUAGAUUAAUGAAUAUAAUGAUUUAGAAUCCAUUGGUGUAUAAACAGGUCCUUUAAUGAGGAAAGAAAUAAGGACACAGACAUAAAGCAACCGCAUUUAUAGAGGCAGAACUGAAGGAAUUAAGCACAGAGUAACUAAAGGAUUGACUAGAUGAUUAGAGGACAAAGCAACUAUGUGGACCUGUCACUGUAAUCAUAUAGGUUCUGUUUGCAGUCAGUGCUGUCUGAUGGGCAGUACAUGGCCAGGAACCAUGUUAACAGGGAAAGGUUGAAAUCCAUGAGGUUUCACUCUGUAGACCACUACUAUCUACAGAGCUAGUUUGGAUCAUCCUUGUUUGGAUGAUGUCAAAUCACUGGAUACAUUCCGCACACGUUAUUCCUAGCAUUAAUGAAUACUCUAUGUUCUAGGGACCACAGAACAGUGGUGCUGUAAAUAAUAGUGAUCAAGCUGGCAGGUAAAAUAUAUUUCCUUUGUAUAGAAUGAUGUCCUUAUAACUGGGAAUACAUGCAGGAAUACAUUGCUAUUUUAAUGGCCUUAAAGUCCAAACUGAAUUUUAAUAAUUUCAGAAGUCCUUCCCUGUAUUUUAGUUCAAAUUCAACAGACAAUUUUCAGAACUAUAUUUCCAUGAUUGUCAAUAUCCACAGUAGGUUACUUAUGUGACCUUUAUGCAUUAGUGUGACAUGUGCACACUUUGCUUUUACAUUUCCAGUCAUAGCUGUAGCUCAAUCUUUCAUCAUUAAUUUACUUGUAAUUCUGAGAUAUUAUAGGGACCGUUCUAAGCACUUAUUGCAGCUAUUUACUCUGUGUUACUCCCAGACAGAAAUAUUUCUAUAGCUAGUUGAAAAGCAUACAAAAGGAAAUUUUGAGAGUAAGUUUUAUACAUUAAAAAAUGGCAAAAGAAAAGACCACUAACAUAGGAAGUUAGGUAGCUAUUGCUUAGCACAUAAAAAAAAACAAUUUGACCACUUAUUAUGAAUAUGAAGAUCAUAAUUGAAAGGGUGUUCUACACAGGUGUAGGAAAUGGUCUAGGCAAUAUAGAGGAAGAAGAUAAUUCUACUCUGUAAAAAGUAUGUUAAUACUCUAUAAGAAGUACAUGAUUCCAUUAACCUCUUCUCAAUUCUUAUGAGGUUUACUAAAACAUACAACCUGAAUGAGAUCUUACAUUAGAUACUUCACAACAAAGCAUGGUUAGGUAGAAUUUCAGAAAUGAACCACAAGUAGACGAGAAAAAUAAAGAGAAUAUGUCGGCAACAAGUAGGAGUGAGUAGGCUAACAUUCUCAAAAUUAUGAGAAAAUAUGACAAAUCAUGGUGCUAGUUUGAUAUCAAAAUAAACAAAAUAGAAAAAGUUUUGCACAUAACCAACAUUUCUAUGUCUACCUCCUGUCCAGAAUAUUACAUGCUUACUUAUUUAUGAAUUAUGACCUAAGCCUUAAACUAGGUUUCUUAUUGGUCUAGCCUAUAACUCAACCAACUUAUAUCUUAUUUGCCUGCCACAUGGCUGGGUACCUCUCUAUAGUUUCAUAGUCUGACUUCUGCAUCUCAGUGGCUAAUCUCCUAUAUCUCCCUCCCUUCCUCUCUCCUGUUCUCCCUUUCUCCCUCCCACCCCCCUCCCCCUUUAUGAUUUCACUCUCUCUCACUUUCUCUCUUUCUGGAUGUCACACCUUCUUCCUACUUUUGCUAUACACCAUCUAUUUUCUAAUAAAACUAUCAGAAAGUGAGAAAGUGAGUGUUUAUGAGAUCUGAUGUAGCCAUGUAUCUGUCAUUCAGCAAGAGACUUCUAUGAAAGUAUUAUUCCACUACAAGUUUAGAGAUGACAGAGGAAUAGCACAGGCACUUGUGCAUUUCCUAAUAUUUAAGUCAAGAAACAAUAGUGGAAAUGGGAGAAACAUUUAAGACAGCAUCAAGCUAGGAAGUAAGCAUAGAUGAUUCCAUACAGUAAGUAGAAGUAUUACCCUCAUGGUAUAUUAAACUUUACCAUGAUUAUUUUAAGGUUACAUUAAGAAAGACAUGAUGAGUUAGAGUAGAUAUCAAAUGUUUGUAUUGCAGAUAUUAUCUUUCCAAUAUAUUUCUUGAAUAUGUUAUGUAUAUGUAUAUAUGCAUACUAGAUAUAUGUAUAUGUAUAUCUGUGCAUGUGGAUAUGCAUACAAUGUAUGUGUAUGGGUGUAUAUACAUAAAUAUAUGUCUGUGUUUAUGUGUGUGGAUAAAUGGAAUUUAUUGGAAUUUCUUAUAAACUGCUACUAAUUCCUAUUUAUCCAAAGAAGGCUGAUUGUGAAUUGAAUGUUCAGUUUUCUAUUGGUUGUUCAGUUCCAUAAGUAUGUGUGUGUCAACUGUUCUUCUGUAUAUGAUAUAUUUCCAAAGAAUGUCUAAUGAAAGUGAAGGAAUGGUUGUCCUAGUAAGCUGUCUUAGUUAGUGUUUUCCUGCUGAGAACAGAUGCCAUGGCCAUGGGAAUUCUUGAUAGGAAAACAUUUAAUUAGGGCUACCUUACAGGUUCAGAGGUUCAGUCCAUUAUCUUCAUGGUGGGAGAUUGGCAGUGUCCAGGCACUCAUGGUUGAAGGAGGAUCUGAGAGUUCUACAUUGUCAUAUGAAUACUGCUAGCAGAAUCUGACUUCCAGGGAGCUAGGAUCAGGUCUUAAAGCCUGUGCUCACAGUGUCACACUUAUCCCAACAAGGCCACAGCUCUAAAUUGUACCACUCCCUGAGUAAAGCAUAUUCAAGCCAUGAUCAAGUGAUUCCAAGUAGGCAAAGUGCUUCCUUCUUCUGUGUUACCACAUAAGCUUCCAGCAGAAUGCAUGAUUUAGAUUAAGGGCAUCUCUUCUCAACUCUAGAUCCAGAGUAAUGGUUUGAAACUUCCUACUUCCAUAUAUGAAUUAAAAACAUAUGUCUUCCUACCUCAAGAUCCAGAUCAAAUGUCUGUAUCCAUACCUCAAUGGUUCAUAUUAGAAGUGGGUUCACACAUUUCAAACAAAGAAGUAAGUUAUUCACAUGUAUGCCCACCAUCUCUGAAUUGUAAAUUUUUCAAUAUAUAUGAUACAAAUAAUUGAAAAGUAAAUUGACACUAUGCAUAAAAUAAAAAGAAAUAAAAAUUCCACUUAUUCACUUUUGUUAAUGAAUGCCCAGAGAAUGCCUUCUAGUACAAUGUACAAAGAAAAGAAAAACAAACAAACAAUCAAAACAAAAAAUAAACAAUAAACAUACAACUGAUACCCUUUAACUUUUUUUUUUAUUACAGGCAUAGUGAAUCAUUUAAAAACUAUACAUACAGUAUUUCCAACUAAAAUUACGGGAAUUCAUUUUUCUGAGAAAUACUUGAAUAAUUUUUCUCAAACCAAAAAUGGUUAAAUUUUUUAGAGAUUUUUCCUUUGUACUUUGAGAUGAUCAUGUAUCCUGUUGGUCUUCGGUCUUUGGCGGCCUGCCCCUUUCUGAACAGGAAAUUGACGGUAUUGAAACUGGAGGAGAAGGGAAUUGGCAGAUGGAGCUAACAGGAGUGGAGGGAUGAGAACAUGGUUUAGAUGAAUUGUAUGAUAGAAAGACCUAUUUUCACUAAAAAAGAGACAAUAUUGUAGAUUUGUCAUACCUUGUAUUCACGUAGUUCAUUACAUGGACUCUUUAUAUAUGUUAAAAGUAAACUAAUCCUACAUAUAAAGGUCAUAUUUGCUUUACCAUAAUAUAAAAGCAUUCUAUGUAAAUAGUGUUUUUAUCUCAUAUGUACAUAUGUCUCAUAUAUAUAUGUACAUAUAUAUUACUUCACAUGUGCAUGUAUUGCACCAUUUUCAAAUAAAUAUUUUCCUCAGAUUUUUUCCUUUUUCAGCCUGGCUGACUCCCUGACAAUACUUCCACUUUCCUGCAAAGUCCCUUUCUCCCACUCUCUGUCCGUAUAUUGUCCCAGAAAAAUAAAAAAGUAAAAAGAAAGAAGAAGAGAGAUAAAGAAUAAGGGAAAUAAAGAAAGAGAGGAGGAAAAAUACUGUCACGACCACCACUACCACCACCAGAACAGCAACUACUCUACUUAACAAUAAAACAGUUAUUCAUGAACUCCAAAAUGAAAUAAAAUUCUAACCACUCACACAUAUAAACAAAAUAUGAAAGAAAAUGUAUGGACUUUUGUCUCUGCAAAUAUGUACUGCUUUGUAGUUUGAUUGUUGUAACCAGUGGCAUUCGGCACAUAUGAACUGUAUAUAACUUCUUCUUAGGGAUGACAAAUUUGUCUAAUUUCCCUCCUCAGUGCUGGUAUUUCUGUCUAUUUUGAAGCACUUUCUUUAGAUCUCAUGUUUGUUGCUACAGACUCUGUGAGUACCUACACUGCUAGGAUGUUAUAUUUGAUAAAUAUUUUUCAUUGGACAUAUCGACCACUUCAGGCCUUUUAAAAUCUUUCUACUUCCUUUGCAAUAUAGAUAUAUGAGGUUUGAGUGGAAAGGUUGGAUGAUCGCAUCACACUUAGGACCUAGUUUUCUACAGUCUCUCAUUUUCUACACACAACCCACCGGAACAUCUCUUUCUCUAUUUUCCAUGUAGUGCAAGCAGAAUACCUCUGAUGAGGUUCAGGUUAUGCACAUAUUUAUGGAUAAAAUAAUAUGUAAUUAGGAUUAUUUAGUUUUACUUUUUUAUCAGAAUAAUACUUUUUGAUUUUUUUUGUUUUGUUUUGUUUUUACCUAGUUAUUUUACCUAUCAGUCUCCGGCUCUUGUGUAUAUUUGCACUGUGAGGUAUGGCUUCUAUCUCAUGGAAAUGGAAGCCAGCUCCUUUCUCAAUAGCAAGUAGAGGGACUAGACCUAACAGGGAGGGAGAGAGGGGAAAGUGGAUUGGAUGUAUUGCAUUUUUAAGAAUCAAAAGUAAUAAAUUAAGUCAGACUGCAUGUCUGCCUCUCUGCUGGUAUGCCAGAGUGCAGCCAUGCGACUCAGAGAAUGUAGAACAAAGUCCAAGAUAGGGGGUCCCAGCCUGUUUCUCCACGGGAGAGAAACAGAGUGUUCAGGGAGUGGUGCUCUGAUUCUCAAAAUCCUGUGCACCCAAACACUGCUGGGGAACAAAGGAGUUCAGAACAAUGGUCAAAGUAUCUCUCCUCCCAUAGGCAGGCAGUACGGAGAUUGCUGACUCUAGGUCAGGGCCAAAUUGUGUCUGGUUCCCAGCGAGUGAAUAAAGAUGGGCUGAAAGAGAUACAGUCUUCUCAGGGAGAAUUAGGUGUGGCUGUUUCUGAGGACAGGCCUCUCCACACCCUCUCACCCCCCACUCCUCCACAGUCAUCCUUGAUGAAGGAGAUAGCCUUGCUCAUCCAAUCUGCCUUAUUUAUGGCAAGUGUGAUUGCUUAUGUCUUACUUUGUGUGAAUUGGGGAUUAAAAACAUUUUACAGGAGUGGAGGCCCAGGAAAGGAAGAUCAUUGAACAAACACUUGGGGCCUAUCUAGAUUCCUAAUUAGAAUGAAGAAUUCCAGUUUUUUAAGCUAUAUUAUCAGAUAUCAUGGUCAUCUCAUUGAUAGUCAUGGUUAUAUGUUACAGGAUAUGGAGGGCUUGGCCAGGUGCUGAUUACAAAACUUGCCAUUCUCAAUUAAAAGUUUCCCUGGGAUUUUUUUAAUCUACUUCAACCUUACCGGUUCUUUUGUCUGGUGUCAGGGUCCACUUGAUCAACAGAUUUCUCUCAUAACAAGUAAGCAAGGCAACAAUGUAUCUUGAAUACUUCUUACUAGUGGAUAUUGAAGACCUUUUAGAUUAUAUUGAUUUGUUUUCUCCUCUAGUAACAUGAAUCUUCCCUUUCAUCCAUAUUAAAUGGAGUCAGUAGCAGUGAAGCUUCAAAUCUGGUACUGGAUAUAUUUCUUCUUUUUCACGAUAAAGUGAGUAGUAUCUUAUACAAUAGAGCCUUACAAUGUGGAGAUUUAACCAUAGUUUUGACAAUGCUGGGUGAUGCUUGGUUGGCAAAUGAUGAAACCCAUUUGGUCAACAAUUCCUCAAAACAAUUAUUUGCUUUCACUGGAGAUUUCACUUCAUGUUACAUGAUAUCUGUGUAAGUACAUCUCUCCAAAUAUAGGGCGUUUCCAUUAAUUUAAACACACACACACACACAGACACACACACUCACAGACACACACACACAGAGAGAGAGAAACACACAGAAUCACAAAGAGAAAGAGAGAGAGACAGAGACAGAGAGACAGAGACAGAGACAGAGGAGGUGUUUCUUUGAUUCAUGUUUGAGUUUCAUACAAGAAUACUCUGCACUUUAUUUCCACAUUUCCUUCUCCUAACAUCUGCCCAUUUUAUUUCUUUUCCAUUCAUUAUCAAAAAGAUUUCCACUUCUUAUUAAUGACUAUCUUUCUUAAAGAUAUAAAUGUACCCAAAACAACUUCUAGCUGUGUAAAAUAUGUGCCAAUCAUAGCUUUGUAUAAUGCAGAUUAAUUGGAAAUGAAUAGCCUAUCAGAUAUCAAAUCCUUGAAAAAAGAAUUCACUCUCUUUUAGCAUAUAUAAUUUGACAUUAGAUUUUCAGCUAAAUGUGAGCUCUUGAGAAAUUUUUUCAUCAGUUUUAGAAAACAGAUAUAUAGACAGAUAUUUUUAAAAUCCUGCUUCUUCCAGCUUUUCCCUAAUUUAACCACAGGCUUCAGCAGCUUCUGUCCAUUUGUUGGGUCUAAACAUUUGCUUUUGACUUUUUUAGCUGCUUCUUGUGUCUUUGGGAGGCCUGUCAUGAUAAGCUCAUUUUUGGGAGCAUACCAUAUCCUCAGAUAUAAUGUCAGGCCUUGAGGCCUCUCUUUGACCUGAGUCCCAAUUUGGGCCUGUUGCUGGACCCCUUUUCCUAAAGCUCUCCUCCAUUUUUGUUCCUGAAGUAUUUUUAGACAGGAAGAAUUCUGGGUCAGAGGUUUAACUGUAGGAUGGCAAUCACAUCCUUCCCAUGAAGCCCAGUAUUUCUACUGGAGGUUGGCUCUACUAGUUCUGUUUCCCAACUGUAGGAUAUUUUACCUAAGGUGACUCACUUUGAAUCUUUAGAGUCUAUCACUUCCCAGAUUUUUGGUAUUCUAGGACCAUCCCCCAAUCUCCUGAGGUUGCCUGUUUCCAUUCUUUCAGGUGUAAUUCAGGACUUCAGUCCUGUUCUCCCCACCCAGUACCUGAUCAUGUUCCCCUCUUCCCCUCCCUUUCCUAUUUCAAACCAAGUUCCUUCCCUCCCUGUCCUGGGAUUGCUUUCUUCGACCUCUCAUGUGUAAUUGAGGCAUCUUCACUUGGGUUCUUUAGAUGUUAAACUUUUUAAGUUACAUGGAUUGUAUCAUGGAUAUUCUGUACGUUUUUAGCUAAUAUCUAUUUUCUAGCUUUCUUAUAGUAUCAGAUAUCUUUUUAACUCUGGGUCUUAUAAUCUAUAUAUGCGUUUUCUGAACUGCUGUCACAAUCUUGAAAUAAUCGUGAGUUUUCAGAAUUCAUGAAUCAGGUUAGAAACAGCACUCUCCGUUGGUCCUUGAAACUCUACAAGUUAUGCAAUACUGUAAUGGUAUUUGUGAUUCAAACUGAAGAUUUUGCUAAUGUCAAUAAUGAGGCUUGUUUGUGAGUAUAAAACUAGAUAUUUAAAACAUAUUUAAGAUUAUGCUGUAUCAGGAAAAUUAGCAGUAGAAGGGUUUCUUUAAGGACUUCUCAUAUUAAAAGACAUGUGUAAUAGCUAGAUUUGCUGCAUAGGGCACACACCAAUUUUCUUCCUGGCCAUAAUAUAGGUCUGCAUUACUCAACAAAGAUCUAAUGAAAAAUUUAUAUUUUAUGUGAGCACUAAGCCACUAAUACUCUUGCAAGAACUCAGAUUUGACAAAAUUUAAGACUUGAUAACAUAGGUAUAAUUAUCAAGUUUAUAUUGAAAUUUGCAGUACUUUUUUGGUAAUGUUUAUUUUAAUAUAACAUGGUGGUAUGUAGUAGAAAGAUAACAGUAUGAGUGACAUAGCAAACAGUCUUAAAGACCAUAAAAUUAUAAAAUUUACUUAAAUAGAAUUUAUAGGAUAAUACAAUUUAAAAACGUGAGGAUUUUGAAUAAGUCUGAGAUGGAAUAUACAGGAGAACACAGUGUGCUACUCUUGUACCAUCAUAUGUGUGGGGAUCAAAGGGAAACAGCACAGUCACUUGCCUGAUACAUAAAAUUUCCAUCCAGUAUUUAGAAAUAAGUUAAACUGGUGGAGUACAAAUGACAGAGUCAGAACUAGGAAAGAAGAAUAAUAUAUUGUCCCAUAGCAUGGACAGCAAUGUGUGUUGGGAGUUAAAAAUCUUGGCCCACUUCCAGAGAGAACACACCAAACUAACAUGUUUCCACAUGUAGAGGUUUGAUGAGACAAGGAGAGUAGAAGAGGGGACAAGUAAGAGAAUAUGGAGGGAGGGGGGUUUGGGAGAGAAAGAGAAGCACAUGAGCACUGAAGAGUAAGCAUGAGAAAGAGAGAGCAAAGGCAAGAGGAAGAGGAGGGGUCAACAAUCCCUUUAUAACCAGGGACAGCUGGCUGUUGCCAGGCAACUCUGGGGUGGAGCAUACAUGGCUGUUGCCAGGUAGCUGUGGGGAUGGAACUUAGAAAGAAUACCAACAUUCCCCUGUUUUGUUUCUUUAAAAAGAAAAAUUAGAAAGGCAAUAGUGGAGUAGGAAUACGGUAGUUGUGAUCUCUAUUUCCUGCUAGAAAAAUGGGUAUGGGAUGUUUGUCCAAUCUUAAGAGUUGGCUAUUUCCUGUUGGCAAGCAUCUGUGGAAUGAUCUGAGGUUAGGUGAGAAGGAACAGGACUAAUAGGGAUGUCUGUGUCUGUGGAAGAAGAUUGGAACAUCUGGAGGUGGCUUCUCUGGAGAUAUCCUGGGUGUAGUAAACACCUGGAUAUGAUGAGAUGCUGGAACACACAUAUAUAUUUAUUAUAGGUGUAGAGUACAAUUAAGUGUGUUUGGAAGAAAUGAAUUCGUUUCAUAGAUGUACAUUUGAAACCCAGAGGAAUCCCACCCUUUGGAAUAGGUUGUAAAUGGGAACUUGAGGCAGAUGUACUUAUGUGGUAUAUGAGAGGUGUGUCUGAGUGGGUUUCCUGUAGCUUAUAACUUUACAAAAGUGAUAAUACAAGUUAACAACUUGAAUAGUCUUUGAGAUAAGCUUUCUGUGGAGAAGAAGGAACAAUUUGUCCUAAAGAACCUGUCCUGGAUGUCUUAAAACAGCCAUGAAAAAAAGAAAUAGAAAGCAGUUUACAAGUCCUAUUUGGAAAGACUUUUUAACAACAAAGGGUUUCUGGAUCACCUGAGAUUUUGGGUUCUACUUGAGAACCUGGUAAAGGAAUCAACAUGUUCCUGUUAGUAGGUUGGUUGACUAGAAGAAGCAGAGGAGCUGCUGACAAGCUUGGGUUUAGGCAAAUUUGUUUAACAAAGGAAAUAAAGACUCCCAAUUUAGCUAGAAGAUCCCUUCUCAAUAAGGAGACAGGGCAUGUUGGCACUACCAAACAUGAAUGGGUGAGAGGCAUAUUCCUGAAAAUGAAACUAACCAGUGGGGUUUGGUGAGGAAAGUAAAGUUGCCUCCUACCCUGACAAUGGGGGAACAUGAGAGAAUAAGGGAUCUACAAAACUCCAUUAGGAAACGGCCCAUGUGUCCAAAAGGAAGGAGUUAGACCACCCACAUACCAUGAUAGGUAUCCAGGGCACCUAGCUGUCGAUGGCAGUGGUCAGGUCUAGGGAACUCAGGCUCCUUCAGUCAUCCAUAGCCAAGCCUAGGAAAUCCACUGGAGGUUUAUUUGCAUGUGAUUUCCCCCUGUCCUGCACAACAUGUGGGUAAUUGACAGCCCAAUAUCCAUCUUGAUGGAACCUAAAACAUAGCACAUUGGCUUGCAGAAGUUAGGGGAAGCCUUUGCCCAGUGACGUUGUUGACCACAUCUGUAGCAGAAGCCUGGAGGACUCUUAGUCUUAGAAGACCAGGAGUCCCACAGCAAUAGCUGAGGCUGGCCAGACAGCCUUUCCCAGCAUAUGGUAUAAGUGUGCAAGCCUUCUCAUCUCUCCCAUGGUACACCUAAAAGGCCCACGCAAAAACUUUAGUAGAGUUAGAAGCCCCCCUGUGUAGCUUUUUAAAGUUUGUCUUUAUGUUGUGGUAGCUCUGGCAGAAGAAAGGAUAUCAGAAGUUGCUUACCUUAUGAGUUGUCAGGGUCUGAAAAAGUUGAUUGUAAUAAAGCCUUUGUAAGUCAUUCUAGAAAUUGGGAUGGGUUUUCCUGUUUUUCCUAGAUGACCUCUGGCAGGUUUUAAAAAUUCACUGGUUUUAAGACUGUCCUUUAAAGACUGGCCAGGAGAGAGGUUAUGAAUCUACCUGUGGAAGUAUAAUUCCUUUGGGGAUCAUGGGCAGGUACUACCUCAGAUUCAAUUGGGUGGUGGUGUGAGCAUGCUAGAAAAGACAAUGUAAAAGCUGUUUUUCUUGAGUUUGUGGCAGACUAAACACAGGAGCAAAGUCACUGACAGACAGAGAGCUCUCUUCUACAAGGGUCUUAGCAAGAAGAAUCCUUAUCAUAUGCAAGGGACAGGGCCAGACUUGCUUAUCCUGCUGCUGUGAACCAGGGUCUGCAGCAGGCACAGCAGAGAAGCAAGUGUGCAAAGUGUAGGGGUUGCACGUGUGUGGGAAAGCAGGUCUCACAGACAGAGUCCCUGGCAGACAGAAAGAAUCGAGCCACAUCUGCUUUUUAUGGGGCAACAAAGAUGGAUAGACCUGUGAAUGAGACUAGUAUUAUUAAUUGCCUAUGGCAGUGCUGGGCUACACUCAGAGCUGGUGCUCUUGAGCCAGAAAACAGUUUACCCAGGCCCAGCCUGGCAUAUUCAUCAGAGAGAAACUGUCCCAAAAAAAAUUGGAGGAAUAACCUCACCACAGGGAAAAGGUUUUAGAAUGGGAGUCAGUGAAAUGAUCCAUCCCCAGGGUCAACACAGGUAGCUCAAAGCUCAAGAACACUCCCCUGAGAUCACAUGUACUUCAUGGAAAGUCAAGCUCUCAGAUAUAGAAAGCACAUAGAGGUCCAGUUAGUCACCACUCACCAGCCCGCGCUUGAAGAAGGUGCUUUCCUUGGCAGGAUUGCAUGCAGGGUGUCACAGUGAUGGGGAGGCCUGCUGGACUGACCAGCCAGUACCCAGAGCACAGGUUAACUCAGCGGAAUGCCACAGGAAUUGAAAAUCAGAGAGAGGUUAGAUCAAAUGUAUAUGAACGUUUCGGCAUAGGGAACCUUCCAUUUACCAGACUGCUAGCAGUCAUUGUGAAGGUUCCCUAAAAUUAAGGAAUUUACCAAGCUAUUAUGCGGCCAUUUUGAACCAUUACCUAAUGAAUAUUAGAUAAUUCUAGUAUUUUGAUGUCUUCAGGACAGGCAUUAGAUUUAGAGUUUUGAAAUUCUCUAGAAAACAAUAUCUUGAAGGGAUGUUCGAAGACAAUGAAUAGCUCACUAGGGAAAGUUACUGAGUAAUCCUGACUGGUAUCCCAGGAGGACUUACUGGUGAUAACAGUAGCACUACCUGAGGCUAGGCUUCUGAGUCAUCACUUAGACUCCUAUAGGCCAUAAAUGACAGGUCCCAGACCCACCAGAAAGAAUUCCUAACCAGGCCUGGGAUUUUAUGAUCCUGUGUAAAUUCUGGAGUAGGAGGGAAGCAAGGAACCGCUUUCAGGGGAAUCUCCACCCAAUGAUUGAAGUCCUAUCUCAUAUUUUAGCUAAGGGGGUUCCCUUUUCCCCAGAAAGGCUGGCCAAGGCCUGUUGUGGAAAGUUGGGUUUCUCCUUGCCAACUGGAAUACAUCUACCAAUGUGCUGGUAUUUGUGCAGGAAUUGUAGCUACACUCUGGUAGCAGGAGAAGAGGGACUGAGUGGUUGAUGAGGGCUUGUCUAAGUGACACAUGUGGCAAGAGCAGGUGGUGAAACACAGAGGGCAGUGGCUAACCCAGGAGUCUGCAUGUGCACUAGCUCAGCAGGAACUCAAGUGGUUGAAUUCCUGAGUCCCAUGUGAGCCAGCAGGUGGUGGUGUCCAAUGGUGAAGCAGACACAUGAGAUUUCUUUCUAGAAUAUUCAUAUUAAAAAAAAACAAACAUAAACAUAGUAGCAUGUAAUUCCAUGUCAUGAGGUAGAGAC
ensembl:lncRNA